ensembl:processed_transcript Gm20429 predicted gene 20429
AGAUGGCGGUGGUGGCUUUGGCUCUUACCCAAACAGGUGCUGGGGGAAAAAUGCAACAGGUACAUCCAGACUGCUAAUAAGUAUGAUGGAAUAUGGUCCCUAAUAUGGAAUAGAGUAGACAGGAGCCCAUGGGGCAACACAACCAGCUCAUCUUGUGGCAUCUGAUCAAGUCUCAUUUGUUCUGUUAAAGGCAGAAACAGUGAUUAAGGCUCUGAUGCUUCUUUCACCAUUUAGAAAGGUAAGUUGCCGGGCCUAACCUGUAGCAUGUGGUGGAACAGAGGAUAGACCCCAGGGUUAUGGGGACUCUAAGCACUGGGGCAUUUGGAGAUGAGUACUUUAGAGUCUCACCACUCCCAGGGAAUAGUCUGAAUUUCUUCUAUUCUCUUUCCCAAAGAAAGCACUGCCUUGUGUGGGACUGAAUCAGGUUUUAUUACCAGCACCCAGGCAGCAGUUCACAACCAUCUGUAACUUCAGUUUCAGGGAUGGGACAGAAGCCCUCUUCUAGUCUAUAUAAGUAGUAGGCCUGCACAGGGUAUACAGACACAGAGGUAGGUAGAAGGAGGAGGAGGAAGAGGAAGAAAGGCAGAAAAAGAAAGAAAGAAGGAAGAAUAAAUAAAUAAAUAAAACCAACCCUCAUAUACAAAAAUUUAAAAAAUGCUAAGGAAUAAAGACAUACAUGGAUGCAA